UAUCAGAACCACCUGCUUUUGCUAUGAAACAGCCUGGCAGGUGGCCAGUGUCUGCCUGAUGUCCUAGUGAUUUUACCUUGCUAAGAAAUCUAAUUUAAUGCUUUAAAAUGAGGAGGAACCCUCUUUCCACUGUAGCCGGGAGACAAAAAGCAGAGUUUCGUGCCCCGGCCGUGACAGCGGAGUCGAAUAUCUUUGAAGUCGGUGGCUGCGUUUAAAGAGCAGUCCAGUGGAAAGCUGGUAGAGCCAGCUGGUAAUAAGAUCCAGGCUGAUCCCUCCCCCUCCCCCCUCUGCAUCAUGUAAUGAUACGUCUGCAGAGCUCGCCAUCACUGCUGCGAGUUCUACUGUCAGUAAACGCAGGCGAGACCUCCAUAGAGAACACAGGCUGUUUAAAAGAAGAAGAAACUCAACCUCAGAUCCUCGUUCUCUGUCGGGUGUAAUCAACGUGCGGUGCUCGAGCGGCCCAGGAGUCCUCCUGUGAUGGAGCGCUGUAGUUUGGACUUUUUUUUUUCGUGUACCCACUUUUCCCUUCGACCCGCCUCGCCUACUUCUACUUCUGUUCCCCUCAUUCCCCCCAAAAUGACUUGGACCACCCCCCGGGAAAGGGCCGUGAACUCGCUCCUUUCAAUCAAAACUGUCAGCGCUCACUCAUCCAACCCUCACUGAACACUGAUGGGGGGUUGAGAGGAAACUCCUGAAGCUGGAGGAGAAAUGUUUGGAUGUGAUGUCACUUUGUUUGUUUGCAAAGGGUCACAGGUCGGAUUCGAACCGAUGGCCGCUGCAGCAAAGACUCAGCUUUGGUAAGCGAGGCACCAGAUCCACCAGGUCGACAUAAUGACACAUGAAGCCAUCAGAGUGGUGUCAAACUCUUCCCCGGUCUGUAACACCGUGUUUCGGGGCCUCAUUACGGGUGC